GAGGAAUAUUGGGCAAUGCCCGCAAGGGUGACCCAGCAACGCCGCGUGGAGGAUGAAUGUCGUAAGAUUGUAAACUCCUGUUAGAGGGGAAGAAUAGUACCGGUUGGACCGGUAUAUGACUGUACCCUCAGAGAAAGCCCCGGCUAACUACGUGCCAGCAGCCGCGGUAAUACGUAGGGGGCAAGCGUUGUCCGGAUUUACUGGGUGUAAAGGGCGCGCAGGCGGGAUAAAAAGUCAGUGGUGAAAUCCUACAGCUUAACUGUAGAACUGCCUUUGAUACUUUUAUUCUUGAGUUCGGGAGAGAGAGACGGAAUUCCUGGUGUAGUGGUGAAAUACGUAGAUAUCUGGAAGAACACCAGUUGCGAAGGCGGUCUCUUGGUCCGACACUGACGCUGAGGCGCGAAAGCGUGGGGAGCAAACA
rnacentral:rRNA from 1 species